CCAAAUCAUGUUGAAACAUUGGUUCCUGUACAAUCACCAAAGUUAAGCAACACCAAGCUUGGUCAGUACUUAGAUUGGUGACUGUUUGGGAAUACUAGGUGCUGUAAG